rnacentral:rRNA from 1 species
CCUACGGGUGGCAGCAGUGAGGAAUAUUGGUCAAUGGACGAGAGUCUGAACCAGCCAAGUAGCGUGAAGGAUGACUGCCCUAUGGGUUGUAAACUUCUUUUAUAUGGGAAUAAAAUGUUCCACGUGUGGGAUUUUGUAUGUACCAUAUGAAUAAGGAUCGGCUAACUCCGUGCCAGCAGCCGCGGUAAUACGGAGGAUCCGAGCGUUAUCCGGAUUUAUUGGGUUUAAAGGGAGCGUAGGUGGAUUGUUAAGUCAGUUGUGAAAGUUUGUGGCUCAACCGUAAAAUUGCAGUUGAAACUGGCAGUCUUGAGUACAGUAGAGGUGAGCGGAAUUCGUGGUGUAGCGGUGAAAUGCUUAGAUAUCACGAAGAACUCCGAUUGCGAAGGCAGUUCACUGGACUGCAACUGACACUGAGGCUCGAAAGUGUGGGUAUCAAACAGGAUUAGAUACCCGGGUAGUC